ensembl:lncRNA
GUGUCUCAGUUUGUUGGAAUUCUGUGGAUUGAACUGAAAGUGAAAACGUUGCGGAAUCAGCGUGACAAUGUUGUUUUGUUUCCUCACGGUGGUCGAAAGCGUCCCGGUUAAUCUCCCGAAUCCAAGCUGUCAAUUUACAUUAUAAUAAUUUUAUUCAACGGUCCUCCAAAGUAAAAUAAAUGCAAAAUAUAAUAAUAUUUGUAAAAUGAUAUGCAGUGUUGUUUGCUGGGUAAAAUAUGAUGCUGGUGGAAGUUCAUGUUCAACGUUAAAUUGUGGCGUGGUCAUGGAUGGCAUGUUUAGAAUGAUCUGUUUCAUAAGGGUCUAAUGUUUGUUGAUAAACAAUAACCACGGCGUGAAGAAAUUGGUCAUAAAAUGUGUUCUGGUCUCUUAUUGCAGGUAAGAACCAACCUCUCUGCUAACUGAAGCCGAAGUGUGUUAAAACUUGAAUUAUCUUCACUGACCAGCAGGGGGCGACUGCUCCAGGUUGCAACAUGGAGGUCACCCAACUUCUGACUGGAUUUAUUCCCUCAGCAAACAUUGUAAAGUGCCUUUCACUCCCUUCAGUUCAUGACACUGGAAGAGGGCCAAACAAAAUGUUGACCCUGAUCCCCUGGCGUCAUUUCUGAGGCCGGCGGCGCUGGUCCUCGGCUCUGCCUACAAGCAGCCACUACUGGCUGUCGAGAGCAGACAGAGACGUACCCAGGAUUGAAAUAAGCCACCUGACCCCUUAAUUCCAAUCUGAUGGUUUUGCAUGCGACUGCGCUCUUUAUGGAGUCUUCAUUCAUGGGGAACUGCCUGGUCAAGGUUGCACCCCAGAUGCCAGCGGGCCCCAGACCAAACAGGCCCGCAGCCUGGGAGACUGCUGCUGUGUGACAUCACUUCCUGCCAUUGUGUGGAGAACGCUGAGUCGUACAAGAGAGCGGGGCCAGUAACAUCCCAAUCAAGUGUCUGGCUGCCGUCAGACCGACAAGAAAAACAGAACUUACAAUUAGAGGAAAACAACAGACUUUAGGCCAGACGUAUGAGUCAUAAGAGAUAAAGACACGGCAGUUGCUUAUGUCUUGGCCUGGUGGACAAUAAAAAAUGAUCUAUUUUUGACUAUACGAGACAAACAGCAUUUAUUUUGAAUGGGAUCAACCAUAUUCAUCUUUGAAUGGAUGGGAACAAUUCCAAAAUAUGGAAAAAUGUAAGUUGUCUUCUGCCCCCAAGUGGCCAAUGAAAUAUCAACUGUGUUUUAAGAAAACUACAAUGAAACAUAUUGCAUGAGUUUGAAAAAAGAAAGAUUAGGAAAAAUAUGAGUCUCACAACUGCAUGUUAUACGCUAUGCUGGC